AUUAAAGCCCACACCAAGGCCCAUAUUAUGAUCCAAUAUGAAGUGUUUGUUAACAAUGUAACUAGGGUUCCUUAGGACUAUAUAUAUGUUGUUAGAUGGUUAGUGUCUGUAACUUUGGCUGCGUUGAAUGCAGCCUCUCCUUUCAUAUUUAUGAAUCAUUUACAAUCUUAUUUAUCUUGGUGACAAACAUAAAGAUUCUUCCUUUCUUUAGUUUCACUGCACAAUAAAGCUUCUUAAAGCUAUUUUAUUUUCUGUGUCAAUAAGCUUUUACUAGCAGAAUCUAUCUUGUUUUGAGUUUAUUCACAUGGUAUCAGAGCUUCAGUCGAUUUAUUGGGAGUCUCUCUUUUCCUCUUCUAGCUUCCGCUUACUCUAUCCCCACUAAAGCAUUCAGAUUUUUGAAGUCGUCACUUCACUGCCGUUUCUGAGAACCCGUUGAAGCCAAAUCGUAGUCAAGCUCCAUCCUUUGUGUUUAAAACAGUGAAGUUAUUUUCGGCUUCUAUCUAAAUCAGACAUCUCAUGAUCUGGAAAUUAUGUUCAAGCUCGCUCAGAGAUUAUCAACUCGUCUCCGUCUCUAAAACAUGUCGUCCUCUUCCUGGAGCUUCAAGCAAAGUGGGUCUAAAGAAACAUCACACAAAAGCUUCACGUCAGCAGGGUUGUGGUAACGCGUCGGAGACUAUGGUCAUCUUACUCAGAGCUUGCUUGUAUCAAUGCCAGAUACAACAAAGAAAAGAGAUGGGUUUUGAAAAUUUGGUGAAGCAUUGAGCAAAGCCGUGACAUCACAUCAAAAAAAAAAAAAAAUCAGAGAUCAUGGGCAGAAAAUCCAGCGUGGACUCGAUCCAAGGUAAUUUCUUUGUUCUAAGACAGAACAGAACAUAGAGUAUUGCCUUGUAGUCAUAGUUUGAUAGGACAUUGCUGGUUCGGUGCUUUGUUGGCUGGUUCAGAUGAUGACUAGUAUAGACUAAGUCUGGAAUUAAGAGGUUAGUUGGAACGGUGAUUGAAUAGGCUUGUUUUGGGUUCGAUAAAGAUGGGAUUUAUGGUUGAAAGUUCCUGGUUUGACGGAUGCACACCAGAUGCUUGAUGAAAUGCUAAAGAGAAGUUAUUUUGCUGAAGAUUCAUUGAGAUUGUGGUUUAAUGAAAAACAGUAGUUGGGUUAAGAAGAAGACAUUAAGAGCAAGAUGUGGCUGCAAACGGAUAGAAGAGUGCUUAUGUUGAAGGCUAGCUUGUAGUAAGCAAAAGAAGGAGCAUGGUGUUUGACUCAAAGCUGAGACAUAGUUACAUUACUGUCACCUGAAGCAUGAAGACAGUGGGUGAUUUUCCUUUAGUAAAAUAGAAAGAGAGUACCUCUGAGAGAGUUUGGAAGCUCUACAAGUAUCUACCCUAAGGAAUGGUAAGAAGCACCUCUGAGAAAGUUUAUGAUAAUUCUACAAGUGCAAAAGACACCUCUGAGAGAGUUACGUUAGCUUUACAAGUGCAUACCAAGUUAUGGCCACACAUACCUCUGAGAGAGUUUAUAAAGCUCUACAAGUAUAGGCCAAUAUGAAGUUGUAUAUGGCUUUGAAGAAGAAAAUAUGCUCUGCUCUUAUCAGCUCCAUUCUACCUUCAGUCCACAUGUCCAAGACUUGCUACAGACCUCAUCACCAACUAGUCUUCUACAAGUACACCCAAGUAAUCAGGUUGUGGUUUCAAACUCAGCAGCUUCGUGUUCACCCGCAGCUAAGUUUGCGGGGGAGUAUUAAAGCCCACACCAAGGCCCAUAUUAUGAUCCAAUAUGAAGUGUUUGUUAACAAUGUAACUAGGGUUCCUUAGGACUAUAUAUAUGUUGUUAGAUGGUUAGUGUCUGUAACUUUGGCUGCGUUGAAUGCAGCCUCUCCUUUCAUAUUUAUGAAUCAUUUACAAUCUUAUUUAUCUUGGUGACAAACAUAAAGAUUCUUCCUUUCUUUAGUUUCACUGCACAAUAAAGCUUCUUAAAGCUAUUUUAUUUUCUGUGUCAAUAAGCUUUUACUAGCAGAAUCUAUCUUGUUUUGAGUUUAUUCACAGACUUAUCGGUUUUGGUUAGAACUAUCUGUCGGUUCGAUUCCGUAUGCACAUUUGGGGCUGUAUGAGGUUGUUCAUAUGGUUUUACGUAAAGAUAAUUUUGUAUAAGAAAAGUCACGCUCAGCC
rnacentral:lncRNA from 1 species